UGAACGCUGGCGGCGUGCCUAAUACAGGCAAGUCGAGCGAACAGACGAGGAGCUUGCUCCUCUGACGUUAGCGGCGGACGGGUGAGUAACACGUGGAUAACCUACCUAUAAGACUGGGAUAACUUCGGGAAACCGGAGCUAAUACCGGAUAAUAUAUUGAACCGCAUGGUUCAAUAGUGAAAGACGGUUUUGCUGUCACUUAUAGAUGGAUCCGCGCCGCAUUAGCUAGUUGGUAAGGUAACGGCUUACCAAGGCAACGAUGCGUAGCCGACCUGAGAGGGUGAUCGGCCACACUGGAACUGAGACACGGUCCAGACUCCUACGGGAGGCAGCAGUAGGGAAUCUUCCGCAAUGGGCGAAAGCCUGACGGAGCAACGCCGCGUGAGUGAUGAAGGUCUUCGGAUCGUAAAACUCUGUUAUUAGGGAAGAACAAAUGUGUAAGUAACUAUGCACGUCUUGACGGUACCUAAUCAGAAAGCCACGGCUAACUACGUG
rnacentral:rRNA from 1 species